rnacentral:rRNA from 1 species
GACGAACGCUGGCGGCGUGCUUAACACAUGCAAGUCGAACGGAAAGGCCCUGCUUUUGUGGGGUGCUCGAGUGGCGAACGGGUGAGUAACACGUGAGUAACCUGCCCUUGACUUUGGGAUAACUUCAGGAAACUGGGGCUAAUACCGGAUAGGAGCUCCUGCUGCAUGGUGGGGGUUGGAAAGUUUCGGCGGUUGGGGAUGGACUCGCGGCUUAUCAGCUUGUUGGUGGGGUAGUGGCUUACCAAGGCUUUGACGGGUAGCCGGCCUGAGAGGGUGACCGGCCACGUUGGGACUGAGAUACGGCCCAGACUCCUACGGGAGGCAGCAGUGGGGAAUAUUGCACAAUGGGCGGAAGCCUGAUGCAGCAACGCCGCGUGCGGGAUGACGGCCUUCGGGUUGUAAACCGCUUUCGCCUGUGACGAAGCGUGAGUGACGGUAAUGGGUAAAGAAGCACCGGCUAACUACGUGCCAGCAGCCGCGGUGAUACGUAGGGUGCGAGCGUUGUCCGGAUUUAUUGGGCGUAAAGGGCUCGUAGGUGGUUGAUCGCGUCGGAAGUGUAAUCUUGGGGCUUAACCCUGAGCGUGCUUUCGAUACGGGUUGACUUGAGGAAGGUAGGGGAGAAUGGAAUUCCUGGUGGAGCGGUGGAAUGCGCAGAUAUCAGGUGGAACACCAGUGGCGAAGGCGGUUCUCUGGGCCUUUCCUGACGCUGAGGAGCGAAAGCGUGGGGAGCGAACAGGCUUAGAUACCCUGGUAGUCCACGCUGUAAACGGUGGGUACUAGGUGUGGGGUCCAUUCCACGGGUUCCGUGCCGUAGCUAACGCUUUAAGUACCCCGCCUGGGGAGUACGGCCGCAAGGCUAAAACUCAAAGGAAUUGACGGGGCCCCGCACAAGCGGCGGAGCAUGCGGAUUAAUUCGAUGCAACGCGUAGAACCUUACCUGGGUUUGACAUGGAUCGGGAGUGCUCAGAGAUGGGUGUGCCUCUUUUGGGGUCGGUUCACAGGUGGUGCAUGCCUGUCGUCAGCUCGUGUCGUGAGAUGUUGGGUUAAGUCCCGCAACGAGCGCAACCCUUGUUCACUGUUGCCAGCACGUUAUGGUGGGGACUCAGUGGAGACCGCCGGGGUCAACUCGGAGGAAGGUGGGGAUGACGUCAAGUCAUCAUGCCCCUUAUGUCCAGGGCUUCACGCAUGCUACAAUGGCUGGUACAGAGAGUGGCGAGCCUGUGAGGGUGAGCGAAUCUCGGAAAGCCGGUCUCAGUUCGGAUUGGGGUCUGCAACUCGACCCCAUGAAGUCGGAGUCGCUAGUAAUCGAAGAUCAGCAACGCUGCGGUGAAUACGUUCCCGGG